CGAAGGGGGCUAGCGUUGCUCGGAAUCACUGGGCGUAAAGCGCACGUAGGCGGGUUCUUAAGUCAGGGGUGAAAUCCUGGAGCUCAACUCCAGAGCUGCCUUUGAUACUGGGAAUCUCGAGUCCGGGAGAGGUGAGUGGAACUGCGAGUGUAGAGGUGAAAUUCGUAGAUAUUCGCAAGAACACCAGUGGCGAAGGCGGCUCACUGGCCCGGUACUGACGCUGAGGUGCGAAAGCGUGGGGAGCAAACAGGAUAGAUACCCUGGUAGUCCACGCUGUAAACGAUGGAUGCUAGCCGUUGGUGGGUUUACCCUUCAGUGGCGCAGCUAACGCAUUAAGCAUCCCGCCUGGGGAGUACGGUCGCAAGAUU
rnacentral:rRNA from 1 species